UUUUGCCUAACAUCAACAUCAUUGCAAGAUAAUUUUGCAAGUUUUGUCCCUAUCCUUCUCCCUGAAAGGACAUUGCAAGAUAAUAAGGUAAUGCCUGUUAUUUGUAUGUUAUUUUCACUGUUAUAUGACUUUAUUUGCAUUGUAUUCACCCUUUAAUAUAUACAUUUUUAUACACAUUGCUUGACCGGAGAACUGCACUGCAAAAUUUGGAGGUGUGUGAAUUUUGAAGGAUGGCUGUGUUUCAGUUUGCAUGUUGUUUCAGAAAAGUAUGAAUUUGUAUGAAUUUAAAUGUAGACUGCAUCAAAUUUCUUCCCACCCCCAGACGUAGUAGUAGAGCUCAGGAAUUGCAUGCAAAAGGUCCCAGUUUCAAUUCCUGGCAUCUCCAGGCUUUGCUAGGAGAGACCCUGGAAUACCAUUGCUGGUCAGUGUAAACAACGAGCUAAAUGGACCAAUGGUCUAAGCAUAAGGUAGCUUUCUACAUUCCUAUGAGAGGAGAAUAGGAUUGUCUAAACUGUUCUUUGGUGGGCCAGGUCUCUGUGUCUCUUCUCCAAAUCAUGGCCUUCUCCAUCCCCAUAGCAGCUUUCUCCUCUGACAGAUGCCAAAUGUGUGUUUACCCUUGCAUGUUAAGAUUUGGAGCACAGCAUCUGGCAAGGAAAAGGUUAUGCAUUUCUCUACCACCACCAUUCCACCCUCCUCCUCCUCCUCCUCCUCCUCCUCCUCCUCCUCCUCCUCCAACUUUUCACUUAGAAUGCUUCCCUCCCCAAGGCAGCUUCUCUUUGCUGAAAGUGACCAUCAGGGUGUCAGAACUGGGACAAGGUCUGAGCUGAGAGCAGUGAGGCAAAGCAAUAGCCAGGACCGGUGAGUAUGUUAGAACCAAAGGAUGAAAUCUGGAGAAGGGAUUUAGCUUGGUGGUAGAGCAUCCACCUUAGAUGCCGAAGGUCACAGGUUCAAUCCCUGGUGUCUCCAGGUAGCGGUGGGGAAACUCCUGCCUGAAACCCUGUAGAGAUGCUGUUAGUGAGUUAGAGUGGACAAUACUGAGCUCCAACAAUCUGAUUUUGUAAAUCAGGAGGCAGAGUUGGAGAGCAAGGCAGAAUCGGGGACGAAAUGACACCAGAACUUGGGAUUUCCUUGUUGCCCAAGCAAGGGCUCAACUGGGACAGGAAGACUUCUUCUACUCCAUCCUGUCCAGGAGGGUCCAGUAGCCCAACGGAGCAGACAGAGUCAAUCCAGGAUACUUCACAGAGAAAAUGCCACCUGAAGUCCAGUAGUUGACCACCACCUCGGGUGGGUGUCCACAGAUCUCAGCAGUUACCAACAUGGGUGCUCAUCUGAAUAUAACGUGUAGCUCGCCCCUGAGCCAAAGGGGUCAAUCAGGCCACCCUGCUCUCUGCCCCCUUUUCUGCCUUCUUGCUUCUUUCCACAGAUCAGCACACUUAGCCUGGGGCAGCCAGGGUUGCUCCAUAAGCUGCCCUUCCCCCAAAUAAUACUUAGUAUGUUGCCUGAAUAAAAAAAGACGC